rnacentral:rRNA from 1 species
AUUGAACGCUGGCGGUAUGCUUAAGACAUGCAAGUCGAACGGAAACGAUAGGAGCUUGCUCCUAGGCGUCGAGUGGCGGACGGGUGAGUAACGCGUGGGAAUCUGCCCAGUAGCGGGGGAUAAGCCAGAGAAAUUUGGUCUAAUACCGCAUACGCCCUACGGGGGAAAGGCUUCGGCCACUAUUGGAUGAGCCCGCGUUAGAUUAGCUAGUUGGUAAGGUAACGGCUUACCAAGGCGACGAUCUAUAGCUGGUCUGAGAGGAUGACCAGCCACAUUGGGACUGAGACACGGCCCAGACUCCUACGGGGAGGCAGCAGUCGGGGAAUAUUGGACAAUGGGGGAAACCCUGAUCCAGUCAUGCCACGUGAGUGAUGAAGGUCUUAGGAUUGUAAAACUCUUUUAGCAGGGAAAAUAAUGAUGGUACCUGCAGAAAAAGUCUCGGCUAACUUCGUGCCAGCCGCCGCGGUAAUU